AAAGUUUUGCAGAGCCUUCGAUGAUAUUUGGUGACAACUUUUGUAAAGUAAAUUUUAUGCAUCGUGGAUGCUAUCGAACCAUUACGAAACGGUGGUUGUGGAGAUGGGAUGACUAUCGAGGAUACGACUUUCUUGAAGCUUAAUUCAUCUAGAAACUUCCAUGUAGGGGGGUUCAGAACCUAAAACCCCACCGUUACGAAUUCAUCCUUAACACCACUAGGCCACCUCUUAGAGACUAUUAUGAGCGCAUCCCACGGGGAUUACGGGUGAAUUAUGCAGAAUCUAGCAUUGUAGACCACAUGAUUGGUUGUUAGGUUUAAAGUUAAUCGAAGUCACGCCGAAGCAUCGUUCAACACAUGAUUGGAACGGAUCGACCUCGUGUCCAGCAUUUGCUCUCAAUAAAUAGGCCCCAUCCUGCCUUUCUUGUCAACAAAAUAUAUAUAUAUAUGUAUUCGGCAGCAGCGCGAAGAUUUAUGUUCUUCUUUUUUUUUUCUUUUUUUUUUUCAUGAGCAACUUUCUCAGUUAUUGAUGAUGUUUGACAACAACCUUUUCAGAACAUUGGCGGGCGAGAGAGCGUGGAUUCAAGGUAGUGAAUCCUAUUUUGAGCCGAACAUGGAGUUACAUAAAUGGAAGUUGAUCGAGCAAGAACCAUUGAUUUGAUCUAUCUGUCUUUGGCAAGCAUUUCUAAUGAAGUUGGCAUGAUGUGGAUGCCAAAGAACUAUUACCAUUUGAAAUAGUCUGAAGGGCUUAAAGAGGAGGCGUGAGGAUUAACGAUGUUACUCCAUCAGCUCACUCCCGAACCAGACUGUUUAAUCGAACUUAUCUCGAACAUUGCCUUAACUCCAUUGAGUGACCGGAAGUGUUUUUGGUGGGCCAAGGCGAUAUAUAUUUUGAAAUUUUUGAAUUGAAAUAUGUAUUUGGAUAUGAUGCUUUAAAUAGAGUGUAAACUUCGGAUGCAGCUUGUACAAUGACUAAUGUGAAAAUAAAUUUGAA